rnacentral:rRNA from 1 species
GGGUGAAGGUGGCGGACGGGUGAGUAACGCGUGGGAGAACUUGCCUUACAGACUGGGACAACAUUUGGAAACGAAUGCUAAUACCGGAUAUUAUGACUGAGUCGCAUGAUUUGGUUAUGGAAGCUAUAUGCGCUGUGAGAGAGCUUUGCGUCCCAUUAGUUAGUUGGUGAGGUAACGGCUCACCAAGACGAUGAUGGGUAGCCGGCCUGAGAGGGUGAACGGCCACAAGGGGACUGAGACACGGCCCUUACUCCUACGGGAGGCAGCAGUGGGGAAUAUUGGACAAUGGACCAAAAGUCUGAUCCAGCAAUUCUGUGUGCACGAUGAAGUUUUUCGGAAUGUAAAGUGCUUUCAGUUGGGAAGAAGUCAGUGACGGUACCAACAGAAGAAGCGACGGCUAAAUACGUGCCAGCAGCCGCGGUAAUACGUAUGUCGCAAGCGUUAUCCGGAUUUAUUGGGCGUAAAGCGCGUCUAGGCGGUUUAGUAAGUCUGAUGUGAAAAUGCGGGGCUCAACCCCGUAUUGCGUUGGAAACUGCUAAACUAGAGUACUGGAGAGGUAGGCGGAACUACAAGUGUAGAGGUGAAAUUCGUAGAUAUUUGUAGGAAUGCCGAUGGGGAAGCCAGCCUACUGGACAGAUACUGACGCUAAAGCGCGAAAGCGUGGGUAGCAAACAGGGUUAGAUACCCUGGUAGUCCACGCCGUAAACGAUGAUUACUAGGUGUUGGGGGUCGAACCUCAGCGCC